rnacentral:rRNA from 1 species
ACGCUCGACACCUACGGGAAGCAGCAGUGAGGAAUAUUGGUCAAUGGACGCAAGUCUGAACCAGCCAUGCCGCGUGCAGGAUGACGGCUCUAUGAGUUGUAAACUGCUUUUGUACGAGGGUAAACGCAGAUACGUGUAUCUGUCUGAAAGUAUCGUACGAAUAAGGAUCGGCUAACUCCGUGCCAACAGCCGCGGUAAUCUGAGCGGGCUGGCAAGGC